ACCCAUGGGGUCAGGAAGACAUGGGGCCACCAUGGGGUCAGGAGGACGUGGGGCCACCAUGGGACCACCAGGACAGAGAGCUAUGGGGCCAGGAGGACGUGGGGCCACCAUGGGACCACCAUGGGGUCAGGAGGACGUGGGGUCACCAUGGGACCACCAUGGGGUCAGGAGGACGUGGGCCACCAUGGGACCACCAUAGGGUCAGGAAGACAUGGGGCCACCAUGGGGUCAGGAGGACGUGGGGCCACCAUGGGACCACCAUGGGACCACCAUGGGACCACCAGGACACACAGAGCCAUGGGGUCAGGAGGAUAUGGGGCCACCAGGAGGACACACAGCUAUGGGGUCAGGAGGAUAUGAGGCCACCACCAUGGGGUCAGGAGGACGUGGGGCCACCAUGGGGUCAGGAGGAUAUGGGGCCACCAUGGGGUCAGGAGGACAUGGGGCCACCAUGGGGUCAGGAGGACGUGGGGCCACCAUGGGGUCAGGAGGACGUGGGGCCACCACUAUGGGGUCAGGAGGACGUGGGGCCACCACCAUGGGGUCAGGAGGAUACGAGGCCACCACCAUGGGGUCAGGAGGAUAUGGGGCCACCACCAUGGGGUCAGGAGGAUAUGGGGCCACCAUGGGGUCAGGAGGACAUGGGGCCACCAUGGGGUCAGGAGGACACACAGCUAUGGGGUCAGGAGGACGUGGGGCCACCACAAUGGGGUCAGGAGGAUACGGGGCCACCACAAUGGGGUCAGGAGGAUACGGGGCCACCAUGGGCUCAGGAGGAUAUGGGACCACCAGGACACGCAGCUAUGGGGUCAGGAGGAUAUGAGGCCACCACUAUGGGGUCAGGAGGAUAUGGGGCCACCAUAGGACCACCGGGACACAGAGCUAUGGGGUCAGGAGGAUAUGAGGCCACCACCAUGGGGUCAGGAGGAUACGGGGCCACCACUAUGGGGUCAGGAGGACGUGGGGCCACCAUGGGACCACCAUGGGGUCAGGAGGACGUGGGGCCACCAUGGGGCCACUGGAACACACAGCUAUGGGGUCAGGAGGAUACGGGGCCACCACCAUGGGGUCAGGAGGAUACGGGGCCACCAGGACACACAGCUAUGGGGUCAGGAGGACGUGAGGCCACCAUGGGACCACUAUGGGGCCACCAUGGGGUCAGGAAGACAUGGGGCCACCAUGGGGUCAGGAGGAGGAUGUGGGGCCACCAUGGGACCACUAUGGGGUCAGGAGGACAUGGGACCACCACCAUGGGGUCAGGAGGACGUGGGGCCACCACCAUGGGGUCAGGAGGACGUGGGGCCACCAUGGGACCACUAUGGGGUCAGGAGGAUACGGGGCCACCACGACACACAGCUAUGGGGUCAGGAGGACGUGAGGCCACCAUGGGACCACCAGGACACACAGCUAUGGGGUCAGGAGGAUAUGGGACCACCAGGACACACAGCUAUGGGGUCAGGAGGACGUGAGGCCACCAUGGGACCACUAUGGGGCCACCAUGGGGUCAGGAGGACAUGGGGCCACCAUGGGACCACUAUGGGGUCAGGAGGAAAUGGGGCCACCAUGGGGUCAGGAGGAUAUGGGGCCACCACUAUGGGGUCAGGAGGAUAUGGGGCCACCACCAUGGGGUCAGGAGGAUACGAGGCCACCACCAUGGGGUCAGGAGGACGUGGGGCCACCACCAUGGGGUCAGGAGGACGUGGGGCCACCACUAUGGGGUCAGGAGGAUACGGGGCCACCACCAUGGGGUCAGGAGGACGUGGGGCCACCACUAUGGGGUCAGGAGGACAUGGGGCCACCAUGGGACCACCAGGACACACAGCUAUGGGGUCAGGAGGACGUGGGACCACCACAAUGGGGUCAGGAGGACGUGGGACCACCACCAUGGGGUCAGGAGGACGUGGGGCCACCACUAUGGGGUCAGGAGGACGUGGGGCCACCAUGGGGUCAGGAGGAGGAUGUGGGGCCACCAUGGGACCACUAUGGGGUCAGGAGGACAUGGGGCCACCACUAUGGGGUCAGGAGGACAUGGGGCCACCAUGGGACCACCAGGACACACAGCUAUGGGGUCAGGAGGAUAUGGGGCCACCAUGGGGUCAGGAGGACAUGGGGCCACCAUGGGACCACCAUGGGGUCACCAUGGGACCACCAGGACACACAGCUAUGGGGUCAGGAGGAUAUGAGGCCACCACCAUGGGGUCAGGAGGAUAUGGGGCCACCAGUAGGACACACAGCUAUGGGGUCAGGAGGAUAUGGGGCCACCAGUAGGACAGAGAGCUAUGGGGUCAGGAGGAUAUGAGGCCACCAUGGGGUCAGGAGGACUUGGGGCCACCACCAUGGGGUCAGGAGGACAUGGGGCCACCAUGGGACCACCAGGACACACAGCUAUGGGGUCAGGUGGACAUGGGGCCACCAUGGGACCACCAUGGGGUCAGGAGGACGUGGGGCCACCAGGACACACAGCUAUGGGGUCAGGAGGAUAUGGGGCCACCAUGGGACCACCAUGGGGUCACCAUGGGACCACCAGGACACACAGCUAUGGGGUCAGGAGGACGUGGGGCCACCACCAUGGGGUCAGGAGAAUAUGGGGCCACCAGUAGGACACACAGCUAUGGGGUCAGGAGGAUAUGGGGCCACCAGUAGGACAGAGAGCUAUGGGGUCAGGAGGAUAUGAGGCCACCAUGGGGUCAGGAGGAUAUGGGGCCACCAGGAAGACACACAGCUACGGGGUCAGGAGGAUAUGAGGCCACCACCAUGGGGUCAGGAGAAUAUGGGGCCACCAUGGGGUCAGGAGGACAUGGGGCCACCAUGGGACCACCAUGGGACAGGAUGUCCUGGGGAGAGGGGGGGAGAAAAGGGGGGGGGGGUGGUCAGCAUCACCGCAACGCAUGGAGAUAUGGGGACAGGAAGGGGGGUGGGAGGUCACCAUGGGGCCAGCGGGAUGCCCAGGGCUAUGGGGUCAGAAGGAUGUGGGGCCACCACCAUGGGACCACCAUGGGACCACCAGGACACAGAGCUAUGGGGUCAGGAGGACAUGGGGCCACCAUGGGACCACUAUGGGGUCAGGAGGACAUGGGGCCACCACAAUGGGGUCAGGAGGACAUGGGGCCACCACCAUGGGGUCAGGAGGAUAUGGGGCCACCACCAUGGGGUCAUGAGGAUAUGAGGCCACCACAAUGGGGUCAGGAGGAUACGGGGCCACCACCAUGGGGUCAGGAGGAUAUGGGGCCACCAUGGGGUCAGGAGGACGUGGGGCCACCACAAUGGGGUCAGGAGGAUACGGGGCCACCACCAUGGGGUCAGGAGGAUACGGGGCCACCAGGACACACAGCUAUGGGGUCAGGAGGACGUGAGGCCACCAUGGGACCACCAGGACACACAGCUAUGGGGUCAGGAGGACAUGGGGUCACCAUGGGACCACCAUGGGGUCAGGAGGAUAUGGGGCCACCAUGGGGUCAGGAGGACAUGGGGCCACCAUGGGACCACCAGGACACACAGAGCCAUGGGGUCAGGAGGAUAUGGGGCCACCAGGAGGACACACAGCUAUGGGGUCAGGAGGAUAUGAGGCCACCACCAUGGGGUCAGGAAGACAUGGGGCCACCAUGGGACCACCAUGGGACCACCAGG
rnacentral:lncRNA from 7 species